UACAGAGGGGGCAAGCGUUGUUCGGAAUUACUGGGCGUAAAGGGCGCGUAGGCGGCCUCUUAAGUCGAACGUGAAAUCCCCGGGCUCAACCCGGGAACUGCGUCCGAUACUGGGAGGCUUGAAUCCGGGAGAGGGAUGUGGAAUUCCAGGUGUAGCGGUGAAAUGCGUUGAGAUCGGAAGGAACGCCCGUGGCGAAAGCGAGGUCCUGGACGCCUACUGACGCUGAGACGCGAAAGCCAGGGGAGCGAACGGG
rnacentral:rRNA from 1 species